rnacentral:rRNA from 1 species
GACGAACGCUGGCGGCGUGCUUAACACAUGCAAGUCGAACGGAAAGGCCCUGCUUUUGGGGGGUGCUCGAGUGGCGAACAGGUGAGUAACAAGUGAGUAACCUGCCCUUGACUUUGGGAUAACUUCAGGAAACUAGGGCUAAUACCGGCUAGGAGCUCCUGCUGCAUGGUGGGGGAUGGAAAGAUUGGGCGGUUGGGGUUGGUCUCGCGGGUUAUGAGCUGGUUGGGGGGGUAGUGGCUUACCAAGGCUAUGACGGAUAGCCGGCAUGAGAGGGUGAACGGCCACAUUGGGACUGAGGUACGGCCCAGACUCCUACGGGAGGCAGCGGUGGGGAAUAUUGCACAAUGGGCGGACGCCUGAUGCAGCAACGCCGCGUGCGGGAAGACGGCCUUCGGGUUGUAAACCGCUUUCGCCUGUGACGAAGCGUGAGUGACGGUAAUGGGUAAAGAAGCACCGGCUAACUACGUG